UUGAACGCUGGCGGCAGGCCUAACACAUGCAAGUCGAGCGGUUGAGAGUAGCUUGCUACUUGAUGCAGCGGCGGACGGGUGAGUAACGCGUGGGAAUCUGCCCAGUAGUGGGGGACAACAGCCGGAAACGGCUGCUAAUACCGCAUACGCCCUACGGGGGAAAGGGGGGGAUCUUCGGACCUCUCGCUAUUGGAUGAGCCCGCGUCGGAUUAGCUAGUUGGUAGGGUAAAGGCCUACCAAGGCUACGAUCCGUAACUGGUCUGAGAGGAUGAUCAGUCACACUGGAGCUGAGACAAGGUCCAGACUCCUACGGGAGGCAGCAGUGGGGAAUAUUGGACAAUGGGGGAAACCCUGUUCCAGCCAUGCCGCGUGUGUGAAGAAGGCCUUAGGGUUGUAAAGCACUUUCAGUGGGGAGAAAGGUUUGUCACCUAAUACGUGAUGAAAUUGAUGUUACCCACAGAAGAAGCACCGGCUAACUCCGUGCCAGCCGCCGCCGCAGUAA
rnacentral:rRNA from 1 species